AUAUGAAUGAGGUAGGGUAGUUUCAUGAUAAAAGUGUCAUCUGGAAGUACCCAGAUAAAGGUAAGAUGAAGUAAAACUGGAGAUUUUCAAGUUCCAAACAUUAAGGCUUCAGCAGAACCAUUACAUUCUUAGCUUAUAACAACAUACCUUGUGAAGAGAUACCUGACCUGUAAUUCAUGCUUACUACAGUCAACUACUGACUCCAAGGACAGGUUUGCAUAAUUGCAGUGAGUGAAAUAAACCAUGGUGACAUAAUUUCUGUGCCUUGAAUCCCAGUUCCACACAGACAGGAUUUUCUUAAUUACCUGUGCUUUACACAGCUUGCCAUUUUGUCUGGACCAUGGGCUAUUGUUGGAUUGUGUGAGGGUUGCUGUCUCCACAAACAAGACAUGCCAUCCGGUUCUGAUGACACAGUAAGCUACACCAGCAAGAACAAUGAUUGAAAUUUGAAUAACAGGAAGAUGACCAACCUACCCAUCAGGCUGAGGAAGAGUCACUCCUGAUAUGCUUGCUUGCGUCUUCCCUUCCAUCCCAUUUUUCCUUCAGGUGUUAGAUUGUGCAUCUAUAGUUAGGAACUGUCCUAUCUUUUAGCACCUGUCCCAUAAUUUAAAAUGUCACAUGUUUUAAAUAAAAGUUGAAAAUAUAGUAAUAA